rnacentral:misc_RNA from 1 species
GCUAAGCCCAAACAUCUCCUUGAGGGCCGGACCCUGGUCAGAGAACCCAAUCAGCUUCGCGACAAUGGCAGCACUAUCUAUCACAUGAUUCAGAUCUGUGUCAUUCCAAAGACGAUGAACCAGUUGGUGUCUCCUCCUUUUGGAGUUCAAAUUUAUGCCCCAUUUCUGGUAUAUUUCGUUUCUUUCAGCUCCUGGUAACUUUUUAUAUAUGAGCCGACAGAGCAUACUUCUCUCGCGUCUAAGAGCUUUGAGGCUAGAUGCAAGUGUGAUUGUCUGACCGCCUUGCACAGCUGAAUUUCCAUUUGAAAGUAUUUCCUUGAGGA